rnacentral:rRNA from 1 species
GUCCUCUUGUUUAUUUUUGAGGUCAGGCCUGCCCAUUGAAUGUAAAUUUUAACGGCCGCGGUAUUUUGACCGUGCAAAGGUAGCAUAAUCAUUAGUCUUUUAAUAGGAGGCUGGGAUGAAGGGUUUGACGAAUCAUUAACUGUCUCAUUUUUAUAAUUUAAAAUUUAAUUUUUAAGUUAAAAAGCUUAAAUUUUGUUGGAGGACGAGAAGACCCUAUAGAGCUUUAUAUUUUAAUAGUUUAUAUUAUUUGGUUUAUUUAUUAUUAUGAAUUAUUAAUAUAUUUUGUUGGGGUGACAGAAACAUAUAAUAAACUUUUUUAUAUUAUUUACAUAAAUGUAUGGAUAAUUGAUCCAAUAUUAUUGAUUAAUAGAUUAAGUUACCUUAGGGAUAACAGCGUAAUCUUCUUUAGGAGUUCUUAUUUACAAGAAGGCUUGCGACCUCGAUGUUGGAUUAAGAUUAUUUUUUGGUGUAGUAGCUAAAUUAAUAGGUCUGUUCGACCUUUAAAAUCUUACAUGAUCUGAGUUCAGACCGG